GAUGAAGAACGUAGCGAAAUGCGAUAAGUAAUGUGAAUUGCAGAAUUCAGUGAAUCAUCGAAUCUUUGAACGCACCUUGCGCCCUUUGGCCAUUCCGAAGGGCAUGCCUGUUUGAGUAUCAUGAACACCUCAACUCUUCAUGGUCUUCUAUGAUGAGCUUGGACUUUGGGGGCUUGCUGGCCCAUUUGGUCAGCUCCUCUCAAAUAAAUCAGCCUACCAGUGUUUGGUGGCACCACAGGUGCGAUAACAAUCUACGCUUGAGGUUUUCCACCAGGCAACCUUCAGUAAUUGGGGUUCACUGGGGCUCACAAAUGUCUUUCUUCAGUGAGGACAGCUCUUUGAAUGUUUGAUCUCAAAUCAGGUAGGACUACCCGCUGAACUUAAGCAUAUCAAUAAGCGGAGGA
rnacentral:misc_RNA from 1 species